AGUGGGGGCAACGGACAAAAUGGUGACCAGAUGGGGAAUUUCAACAGAGAACUGGAAUCUGUAAAAGCCAAAGGAACAUUCCAGAAUGGACACAUGUAACAUCUGAAAUAAAGAAUUCCGAUGGGCUGAGUGGCAGAGUUGGACACAGCAGAGGCAAGAGGUCCACUGUCCACUCCUCUCUGAGUCAGGAAGUUGGAUUUGCCGAUGGCCUGCAUCGGCGGCAGAUCAACGUGGAGGGAUAGAGAGCAGUUUCCAUAACCACCCCUUCCCUUUGCCCUUCCAGUGAUUCUCUGCAUCACCAGCUGUCCUACAAGUCAACUCAAUUCUGACACUCUCUGCCUGGAGAUGACAUCGGAUCCCACGGGUUAAGGUGAAGUCCUACAAGACUGUCCCACUCUUCAGAUGC